CGGAUCGUAAAACUCUGUUGUUAGAGAAGAACGUUGAUUAGAGUGGAAAAUUAAUCAAGUGACGGUAUCUAACCAGAAAGGGACGGCUAACUACGUGCCAGCAGCCGCGGUAAUACGUAGGUCCCGAGCGUUGUCCGGAUUUAUUGGGCGUAAAGCGAGCGCAGGUGGUUUAAUAAGUCUGAUGUAAAAGGCAGUGGCUCAACCAUUGUGUGCAUUGGAAACUGUUAGACUUGAGUGCAGUAGAGGAGAGUGGAAUUCCAUGUGUAGCGGUGAAAUGCGUAGAUAUAUGGAGGAACACCGGUGGCGAAAGCGGCUCUCUGGACUGUCACUGACACUGAGGCUCGAAAGCGUGGGUAGCAAACAGGAUUAGAUACCCUGGUAGUCCACGCCGUAAACGAUGAGUGCUAGUUGUUUGGGGCUAUCCAGCCCUAAGUGACGCAGCAAACGCAUUAAGCACUCCGCCUGGGGAGUACGACCGCAAGGUUGAAACUCAAAGGAAUUGACGGGGGCCCGCACAAGCGGUGGAGCAUGUGGUUUAAUUCGAAGCAACGCGAAGAACCUUACCAGGUCUUGACAUACUCGUGCUAUUCCUAGAGAUAGGAAGUUCCUUCGGGACACGGGAUACAGGUGGUGCAUGGUUGUCGUCAGCUCGUGUCGUGAGAUGUUGGGUUAAGUCCCGCAACGAGCGCAACCCCUAUUGUUAGUUGCCAUCAUUAAGUUGGGCACUCUAACGAGACUGCCGGUGAUAAACCGGAGGAAGGUGGGGAUGACGUCAAAUCAUCAUGCCCCUUAUGACCUGGGCUACACACGUGCUACAAUGG
rnacentral:rRNA from 1 species